UGAAGAGGACGUUUAACUGACACGCCAAAUUGAGCAAAUAUAAGUCAUGUUACAAAAAACACAUUUGAAAAACUCAAUAGCAAUAUUUCUUUAUAGAAAUGAUGACUGACUUAAUCAAACAGACCUGGCUGUGAGCAGUUUCAUGAGGGAACUGCUUUUUUCUACCGAACUGCAUCCCCCAACUGUAUCGCCGCACAGGAGGAAACGACUAGGCUAGUUUGCCUAGCUAACUAAGCUAGCAUGAUGUAAACAUUAAUGUCAUCAUCGCUGGCUUUAGCUUUAAAGUUAGCUCCAUUAAGUAGUCUCCAGUUCACCAGUAGAACUCAGGCUUUCUUUAGCGCUGAGAUACAUUAGCUAGCUUUCUUAAGUUAGUUUGCUAGCCUCUUGUUGCUCGCUUCUUGCGCAGUGAUACAGUUGGUGGUCUGUAGGCUAGCUUGACAGACAGAAAAUCCAAGAUAGCACACAUACGUCUUGCAGACAUCGAAUGAAUUGAAGUUACGUUAGGAAGACGUGGUAUGGGGAAUGUUUGCUAAUUGGGAAGACGAGCUCGCACUGACAUCUGCUAGAUGUACAUAUGUGUGGUUCUGAGGGUAGGUCCUAUGUGAAACUGCUCAAAACAAGAUCUGUGGAUUUUCUUGAGUAACCAAGUCGUGACUUCUGUUAAGAGACAUUGCUGCUGAGUUUUUCAAUUGUCUUUUCUGGUGAGACACCACAAGACAAGUGCCAUCUAGUUCCAUUAUUUUUAAGGGAAGGCAGAAAUCUCUAUGGCCUGAUCUCCAAAAGUAAGCAACUCUCACCAAAACAACCUAGAUGGAUAAAUGGCUCUACAGAGACAACUUACUUGUAUUUGCGGGUGAAGCACCUUGAAACCGAUCCGUGCUCAUCCUGCCUUUCUUCAUGAUUUCCUUGUGAGGAACAUAAAAAAUAAUGAAAACAAUGUCGAGAAAAUGACACUUUGACCCUGAGGUGAGAAGUGAUUGACGUCCAGGUUAAUCUUCCAGCGGUCCUGCCCUGUCCUGAUCUCUGACACCCCACUUGUCUGUUGCCUGUUUUGGUUCAACGCCGCAGGGUGCUGACCACUGAAUGGAGGCAGAAGAGGAG